CGAAGGGUGCAAGCGUUGUUCGGAUUUAUUGGGCGUAAAGCGCGCGUAGGCGGACCUGCAAGUCAGAUGUGAAAUCUCGGGGCUCAACCCCGAAACUGCGUCUGAAACUACAGGUCUAGAAUCUUGGAGGGGGAAGGGGAAUAUCGCAUGUAGGGGUAAAAUCCGUAGAUAUGCGAUGGAACACCAGAGGCGAAGGCGCCUUCCUGGACAAGUAUUGACGCUGAGGCGCGAAAGCGUGGGGAUCAAACAGGAUUAGAUACCCUGGUAGUCCACGCUGUAAACGAUGAACACUAGGUAUUGGAGGAUUUGACCCCUUCAGUGCCGUAGCUAACGCGUUAAGUGUUCCGCCUGGGAAGUACGGUCGCAAGACUA
rnacentral:rRNA from 1 species